rnacentral:rRNA from 1 species
UACAGAGGGGGCAAGCGUUGUUCGGAAUUACUGGGCGUAAAGGGCGCGUAGGCGCCUGCUAAGUCGAACGUGAAAUCCCCGGGCUCAACCCGGGAACUGCGUCCGAUACUGGCAGGCUUGAAUUCGGGAGAGGGAUGUGGAAUUCCAGGUGUAGCGGUGAAAUUCGUAGAUAUCGGGAGGAACACCAGAGGCGAAGGCGGCGAACUGGACAGUUACUGACACUCAACUGCGAAAGCGUGGGGAGCAAACAGG